CGCGAUACAGGGUGACAGCCCCGUACACAAAAGCGCAUGUGCUGUGAGCUCGAUGAGUAGGGCGGGACACGUGGUAUCCUGUCUGAAUAUGGGGGGACCAUCCUCCAAGGCUAAAUACUCCUGACUGACCGAUAGUGAACCAGUACCGUGAGGGAAAGGCGAAAAGAACCCCGGCGAGGGGAGUGAAAAAGAACCUGAAACCGU
rnacentral:rRNA from 1 species